GUCGGAUCCAUCCUGCUCAAGUGCUAUGAUGUCUUCAACCUAGAGAAGAAGAGCCCUGUCCCAGGCAGGGGACAUGGGGACGCUGCAUCCUUCUCCCAGCCGGCGCCACUCAGGGGGCUGGGUUAUUUAAUGCUGAAUAGCACGCAGGGAUGCUUUUCCCUUCACCGUGCUGCUGACUGUGCACUUUGGGGCUGUGGGAUGGGCAGAUGGUGCAGGGGGGACCCAUCGCUCCCAAAACAUCACCCACUUACAGCCAGAUCCACGGAACAACGCAGGUCCCACUUCCAGCAUCUGUACAGUGGGGCCAGAUGUGCUGACACAGCGAGAACCGCAGCACUCACAGACCAUGUGCUUCCCGUGUCUGCACAUCCACAGCUUCUCCUGUUGUCCAGGACUUCAUUCCCACCCCGGGAACGGGCUCCAUGCACCGUGUGGCUGCAGGUCCCACCGUGGCCAGCACUUGUGGCUGUAAUUGGGUGGCAGCACACAGAUGGUGGCGGGUGCACAGACACAAAGGGCUGCUUUGUGUGUCGGAGUUUAUCUUUCCCAUUAAUGGCUUUCUAAAUUGGUGGCAGUGGAGCAAAAAAACCCAAUCUGAACUCGGAGCAUGCAUGAUUACUAUUGUAAUAACCUUGGCUAAUAAGAAUAUGAUGCGGUGUUAAGCUGGGGAAGAAAACACAUUUCUCAUUAGCCUUUUGAUUAAUUACUCCACAUAAUUUCCUAGGGGGACAUGCGUGGGACUGAUUGCCUUUGCUUUUGAGGCGCGGAAGUGGUUUACCUUCACUUAAUAAUUUGCCUGGUGACAUUUUAAUGGCAGUGCUCAAUUCAUCUCCAGUUGGACGGAGGCAGGGGUGCCUCGGCCUCCCCUUGCUCCUCCAGUGCUGGACCCUUGGUCCUUGCCAUCCCGGUGAUGCUCGGCUGUGGUACCCGGAGCAGCGGCGUGCAGGUGUGUGGCUCCUCCGCUGCCAGGAUCCAGCUGGAAGGAGGGAUGUGUUUACAUGGCUCGGAAGAGACCAAUUUCCUUCCUUGCUUUGGAAUAUAAAUAUUUUACAGGAGCUAAAAUAUUCUGAGACCGUUUGAUGUUGCCACAUGGAGCGGCAUCGAACGCAGGCGGAAGGAGGGGAAGAAAGAAGAAGGGAGCAAGCAGCGAUGCAUUUGUUCCCUUCGCUGAAGAUGGAAUUAGGCUGCGUGUUUCUGCAUCAUAAAAUUAUCCAGAACAUUGAUCCCCAUUUACUGCUUCGGGAGCGGGUCCUUGGCUUGCAGCUCUGCACAGGGCCAUGCGAUGGGGCUGUGCAUGGGAAUAGUCCUGGUGGCACCUCCUGCCCCUUCUCUGCUCCACUCUUUCCUUGGGGCUGCCCAGGACCUUCCUCUCAACACUCACCCCUGUUUGUAGCAUAUAGAAAUAGGGCCAAGCACUUGCUCCUUGCAGGCAGGUUUCCACUGGGGCUGGAGGGAAGCCGCUUUGCUUUACCCCCGUUGAGCUGGGCUUAUGGCUUGGUACAAUAAGAAGCCAAGGGGGGGUUCUGCCUUGACUGCUUCUUACUGUGAUUCUUUCUCUGUUCUGGCCAGUGCCAGGCGAGUCCGUUGAUGAAUUAUCCCAAUAUAUAUUCUGUCUGCAAAGAAAACACAUAUCA